AUUGAACGCUGGCGGCAGGCCUAACACAUGCAAGUCGAACGAGUGGCGGACGGGUGAGUAAUGUCUGGGAAACUGCCUGAUGGCGGGGGAUAACUACUGGAAACGGUAGCUAAUACCGCAUACCAUCAGAUGUGCCCAGAUGGGAUUAGCUUGUUGGUGGGGUGACGGCUCACCAGGGCGACGAUCCCUAGCUGGUCUGAGAGGAUGACCAGCCACACUGGAAUUGAGAAACGGUCCAGACUCCGACGGGAGGCAGCAGUGGGGAAUAUUGCACAAUGGGCGAUAGCCUGAUGCAGACAUGUCGCGUGUAUGAAGAAGGCCUUCGGUUUGUAAAGUACUUGCAGCGGGGAGGCGGUACCUGCAGAAGCAGCACCGGCUAACUCCGUGCCAGCAGCCGCGGUAAUUC
rnacentral:rRNA from 1 species